rnacentral:piRNA from 1 species
UCUCCUGAAGAACAGAGAGCACGGUGU